UGCAUGUCUCAGUAUAAGUCAUUUUACGACGAAACUGCGAAUGGCUCAUUCAAACAGUUAUAGUUUCUUUGCUGGUCAAUCGUUAUACGGAUCACUGUGGUAAUUCUAGAGCUAAUACGUGCACAAAGACCCGACUUCACGGAAGGGUUGCAUUCAUUAGAUACAGAACCAUCCCCUUCGGGGUUUUGGAUGAUCCAUAAUGAAUGAGCGGAGCGCAUGGCUUGUGUCGGCGCUGUAGCAUUCAAGUUUCUGACCUAUCAGCUUCCGACGGUAGGGUAUUGGCCUACCGUGGCAUUGACGGGUAACGGAGAAUUAGGGUUCGAUUCCGGAGAGGGAGCCCGAGAAACGGCUACCACAUCUAAGGAAGGCAGCAGGCGCGCAAAUUACCCAAUUUUUUUUCAGGGAGGUAGUGACAAGAAAUAACAGUGCUGUUCUCUUUGAGAAUAUGCAUCUGGAAUGAUUUGCAUGUAAAUAUCGCUUGGACUAUCAAUUGGAGGGCAAGUCUGGUGCCAGCAGCCGCGGUAAUUCCAGCUCCAUUAGUGUAUAUUAAAGUUGUUGCGGUUAAAAAGCUCGUAGUUGGAUUUCUGUUGGGUAUCGCGUGGUCUGCUCCUCGAGUACGUAUCUGCGUCGAUCCUGGCAUCCUCGCAACGCUCUGUGGCAUUAAUUUGCUGCUUGGCUUGCGACUUUUACUUUGAGGAAAUUAGAGUGUUCACGGCAGGCAUUUGCUUUGAAUAUAUUAGCAUGGAAUAAUAACAUAGGACUUCGGUUUUAUUUUGUUGGUUUCUAAGGCUGAAGUAAUGAUUAAUAUGGACAAUUGGGGGCACUCGUACAAAUCCGUCAGAGGUGGAAUUCUUGGAUUGGAUUUUGACGAACUACUGCG
rnacentral:rRNA from 1 species